rnacentral:rRNA from 1 species
CGCGGCCUAUCAGCUUGUUGGUGAGGUAACGGCUCACCAAGGCAUCGACGGGUAGCUGGUCUGAGAGGAUGAUCAGCCACACUGGGACUGAGACACGGCCCAGACUCCUACGGGAGGCAGCAGUAGGGAAUAUUGCACAAUGGGCGAAAGCCUGAUGCAGCAACGCCGCGUGCGGGAAGAAGGCCCUAGGGUUGUAAACCGCUUUCAGCAGGGAAGAGAAUGACGGUACCUGCAGAAGAAGGUGCGGCCAACUACGUGCCAGCAGCCGCGGUGACACGUAGGCACCAAGCGUUGUCCGGAUUUAUUGGGCGUAAAGAGCUCGUAGGCGGUUCAGUUAGUCGGGUGUGAAAACUCAAGGCUCAACCUUGAGACGCCACUCGAUACUGCUGUGACUUGAGUCCGGUAGAGGAGUGUGGAAUUCCUGGUGUAGCGGUGAAAUGCGCAGAUAUCAGGAGGAACACCAGCGGCGAAGGCGGCACUCUGGGCCGGUACUGACGCUGAGGAGCGAAAGCAUGGGGAGCAAACAGGAUUAGAUACCCUGGUAGUCCAUGCCGUAAACGUUGGGCACUAGGUAUGGGAUCAUAUCAACGGAUUCCGUGCCGUAGCUAACGCAUUAAGUGCCCCGCCUGGGGAGUACGG